rnacentral:rRNA from 1 species
CGACCGGCACACGGGUGAGUAACACGUAUCCAACCUGCCGUCUACUCUUGGACAGCCUUCUGAAAGGAAGAUUAAUACAAGAUGGCAUCAUGAGUCCGCAUGUUCACAUGAUUAAAGGUAUUCCGGUAGACGAUGGGGAUGCGUUCCAUUAGAUAGUAGGCGGGGUAACGGCCCACCUAGUCUUCGAUGGAUAGGGGUUCUGAGAGGAAGGUCCCCCACAUUGGAACUGAGACACGGUCCAAACUCCUACGGGAGGCAGCAUG